GGGAUAACAGUUGGAAACGACUGCUAAUACCGCAUAAGCGCACAGUACCGCAUGGUACGGUGUGAAAAACUCCGGUGGUACAAGAUGGACCCGCGUCUGAUUAGCUAGUUGGAGGGGUAACGGCCCACCAAGGCGACGAUCAGUAGCCGACUUGAGAGAGUGAUCGGCCACAUUGGGACUGAGACACGGCCCAAACUCCUACGGGAGGCAGCAGUAGGGAAUAUUGCACAAUGGGGGAAACCCUGAUGCAGCGACGCCGCGUGAAGGAUGAAGUAUUUCGGUAUGUAAACUUCUAUCAGCAAGGAAGAUAAUGACGGUACUUGACUAAGAAGCCCCGGCUAAAUACGUGCCAGCAGCCGCGGUAAUACGUAUGGGGCAAGCGUUAUCCGGAUUUACUGGGUGUAAAGGGAGCGUAGGCGGCAUGGCAAGUCAGAAGUGAAAGCCUGGGGCUCAACCCCGGAAUUGCUUUUGAAACUGUCAGGCUAGAGUGUCGGAGGGGUAAGCGGAAUUCCUAGUGUAGCGGUGAAAUGCGUAGAUAUUAGGAGGAACACCGGUGGCGAAGGCGGCUUACUGGACGAUUACUGACGCUGAGGCUCGAAAGCGUGGGGAGCAAACAGGAUUAGAUACCCUGGUAGUCCACGCCGUAAACGA
rnacentral:rRNA from 1 species